GACGAAGGUGGCAAGCGUUACUCGGAUUUACUAGGUGUAAAGCGUGGGCAGGUGGUUUGGUAAGUCUGCUGUGAAAGCUCCUGGCUUAACUGGGAGAGGCCAGUGGAUACUGCCAGGCUUGAAUAUGGGAGAGGUGACUGGAAUUCCUGGUGUAGCGGUGAAAUGCGUAGAGAUCAGGAGGAACAUCGAUGGCGAAAGCAGGUCACUGGACCAUUAUUGACACUCAUCCACGAAAGCUGGGGGAUCAAACAGG
rnacentral:rRNA from 1 species